GACGAACGUUGGCGGCGUGCUUAAUACAUGCAAGUCAACUGAAGCAGUGGUAGCAAUAUCGCUGUGGAGGUGGCGCACGGGUGAGUAACACGUAGGUAAUCUGCCUUCAGGUCUGGCAUAACUCCGGGAAACCGGGGCUAAUAGCAGAUGAUGCAGCGGCUCGACAUCGAGGCAGUUGUUAAAGCUAUGGCGCCUGAAGAUGAGCCUGCGUCUGAUUAGCUAGUUGGCGGGGUAACGGCCCACCAAGGCAACGAUCAGUAGCUGGUCUGAGAGGAUGAUCAGCCACACUGGAACUGAGACACGGUCCAGACUCCUACGGGAGGCAGCAGUAAGGAAUAUUGCUCAAUGGGAGAAAUCCUGAAGCAGCAACGCCGCGUGAGGGACGAAGGGCUUUUGCUUGUAAACCUCUGUAGUGAGAGAAAAAAAUCCCAAUCUUUGGGACAUGAUGGUAUCUCAAAAGUAAGCCCCGGCUAACUACGUG
rnacentral:rRNA from 1 species